rnacentral:rRNA from 1 species
AUUGAACGCUGGCGGCAGGCCCAACACAUGCAAGUCGAGCGGUAGCACAGAGAGCUUGCUCUCGGGUGACGAGCGGCGGACGGGUGAGUAAUGUCUGGGAAACUGCCUGAUGGAGGGGGAUAACUACUGGAAACGGUAGCUAAUACCGCAUAAUGUCGCAAGACCAAAGUGGGGGACCUUCGGGCCUCAUGCCAUCAGAUGUGCCCAGAUGGGAUUAGCUAGUAGGUGGGGUAACGGCUCACCUAGGCGACGAUCCCUAGCUGGUCUGAGAGGAUGACCAGCCACACUGGAACUGAGACACGGUCCAGACUCCUACGGGAGGCAGCAGUGGGGAAUAUUGCACAAUGGGCGCAAGCCUGAUGCAGCCAUGUCGCGUGUGUGAAGAAGGCCUUCGGGUUGUAAAGCACUUUCAGCGGGGAGGAAGGCGGUGAGGUUAAUAACCUCAUCGAUUGACGUUACCCGCAGAAGAAGCACCGGCUAACUCCGUGCCAGCAGCCGCGGUAAUACGGAGGGUGCAAGCGUUAAUCGGAAUUACUGGGCGUAAAGCGCACGCAGGCGGUCUGUCAAGUCGGAUGUGAAAUCCCCGGGCUCAACCUGGGAACUGCAUUCGAAACUGGCAGGCUAGAGUCUUGUAGAGGGGGGUAGAAUUCCAGGUGUAGCGGUGAAAUGCGUAGAGAUCUGGAGGAAUACCGGUGGCGAAGGCGGCCCCCUGGACAAAGACUGACGCUCAGGUGCGAAAGCGUGGGGAGCAAACAGGAUUAGAUACCCUGGUAGUCCACGCCGUAAACGAUGUCGAUUUGGAGGUUGUGCCCUUGAGGCGUGGCUUCCGGAGCUAACGCGUUAAAUCGACCGCCUGGGGAGUACGGCCGCAAGGUUAAAACUCAAAUGAGUUGACGGGGGCCCGCACAAGCGGUGGAGCAUGUGGUUUAAUUCGAUGCAACGCGAAGAACCUUACCUGGUCUUGACAUCCACAGAACUUUCCAGAGAUGGAUUGGUGCCUUCGGGAACUGUGAGACAGGUGCUGCAUGGCUGUCGUCAGCUCGUGUUGUGAAAUGUUGGGUUAAGUCCCGCAACGAGCGCAACCCUUAUCCUUUGUUGCCAGCGGUUAGGCCGGGAACUCAAAGGAGACUGCCAGUGAUAAACUGGAGGAAGGUGGGGAUGACGUCAAGUCAUCAUGGCCCUUACGACCAGGGCUACACACGUGCUACAAUGGCAUAUACAAAGAGAAGCGACCUCGCGAGAGCAAGCGGACCUCAUAAAGUAUGUCGUAGUCCGGAUUGGAGUCUGCAACUCGACUCCAUGAAGUCGGAAUCGCUAGUAAUCGUAGAUCAGAAUGCUACGGUGAAUACGUUCCCGGGCCU